rnacentral:rRNA from 1 species
UACGAAGGGGGCUAGCGUUGCUCGGAAUCACUGGGCGUAAAGCGCACGUAGGCGGGUCUUUAAGUCAGGGGUGAAUCCUGGAGCUCAACUCCAGAACUGCCUUUGAUACUGAGGAUCUCGAGUCCGGGAGAGGUGAGUGGAACUCCGAGUGUAGAGGUGAAAUUCGUAGAUAUUCGGAAGAACACCAGUGGCGAAGGCGGACUCACUGGCCCGGUACUGGACGCUGAGGUGCGAAAGCGUGGGGAGCAACAGGG